rnacentral:lncRNA from 1 species
CUCUUACUACUGAGCAGAUGGUACAUUAUUUUUAAUUGGUGGGACAUGUAAAUGUAUGCAGGAUGCCUCUCAGAGCUCGGCUCCCUCCACCUGUCUUGACGUGAGCUGUGUUACACUUGAGCUUUUCCUUCACACAUAAGUGAAUUUGCAUUGGUUUUUGCAUUGCUAUCAAACCUUGUGAAAACAGUUUUUAGAUGCUGUGCAAAUUUCCAAAAUGUACAUAUACAUAGCUAGUGGUGAAUGAUGUUGUGUGGAGUCUGCUCUGUCACGAUGAACUGCUGCGCCUUUUCACUUCUCCUGGGUGAGUUAAUUCAUGUUUCAUGUAGUUGCUGAUGUGUCACAAUGAAUUAUUACAAUAAAUUAAACCGGAGAACACUUAGUUAAGUUUAUACUUUCAUUGAGUAAAACCCUGCUAAUUAUUUUAUUAUCUGGAUUUGGACAAUUUGGAUACAUGCUUUUAUUUUUUUUUACCAAAUGCAAAUUUAUAAAAAAGAAAAUAAGUAAAACAAAUAAUACUGUACAUUUGUUGGCUAACUAUGAACCACCAGAUGUUUUUAUAAUGUAUAUAAUUGUUGUAACAAUUAUUAAAAUGUAUCUUUUACAUGCCUUUUAUGAACAUAUCUUGCCAUCAAUAUAAUCAGAACCAGAUCAUUUCAAAUAACAGUCUUGCAUAUAAAUCUCACAGAAUUUAGAUUAUGUGAAUCAUUUUUAAGAAGGCAUUACAACAAUAACAAUUCUCUGUCCUUGUGCUCUAUAGGUUCCCUCUUCAUCCUUGGCCAUUGUGUUUUUCCUCCUGGUUCUUGUGAUGGAUACACAAACUUAACUGACUCAUGGCGCAACCACUUAUUCACAUCAUCUUCCUUUCCCGACUUCCCAAAGAACGAUGUACAUCUUGUUGAGUAUUGGUGGCGCUUCACAGGGAUUGGUGGAGACAGAAUUGUAGCAGUGUGCUAUGUAGGCCCUCGUGCUGGUGUCAACUACCCCAUUUAUUUUCCAUUUUCAUAUCCACAAACUGAAUCUGAAAGUCCAUCAAUAGGGACUGCUUAUGUUCGUGUUUCACAUUGUUCACAAUAUGGUAUCUCCAUGAGCGUGGCCCUCUGUCCUGGAGGAUUCUACAUAUACAAACCAUCAAAUCACCAUUUCAGCAGUACGGGUUAUGCAACUUGUAAGGAAUGAUUACUAAUUUUCAUCCUUUGCUUUGUAUUUUGGUGUAGACAUGUCCCACUAAAGAGUGAGCUGCUACCUAUAGUUAAAAAUACUUACUUUUAUCCUUUCACCAUGAAUAUCUUGUGUGUGUGUGUGUGUGUGUGUGUGUGUGUGCGUGUGUGUGUGUGUGUGCGUGUGUGUGUGUGUGUGUGUGUGUGUGUGUGUGUGUGCGUCCGUGUGCGUGUGUGCUUUAUCUGUGUAGAUCAUUAUGAGUGUAACCCGGACUCGUGUGGACCACUUGCUGAGUGCUCAGGUACUGGAGGUUGUACCUGUGUUUCUGGGUAUGAAAUCCCCCCAGAACACCUACCCAC